UACGGAGGGUGCAAGCGUUUAUCCGGAUUCACUGGGUUUAAAGGGUGCGUAGGUGGGUCUGUAAGUCCGUGGUGAAAUCUCCGAGCUUAACUUGGAAACUGCCAUGGAUACUAUAGGUCUUGAAUACUGUGGAGGUCAGCGGAAUAUGUCAUGUAGCGGUGAAAUGCUUAGAUAUGACAUAGAACACCAAUUGCGAAGGCAGCUGGCUACACAAAUAUUGACACUGAGGCACGAAAGCGUGGGGAUCAAACAGG
rnacentral:rRNA from 1 species